rnacentral:rRNA from 1 species
UUGUCAAAAGGGGAAACAGCCCAGAUCACCAGCUAAGGCCCCUAAGUAACUACUAAGUGACAAAGGAUGUAUUAGUACAUAGACAACCAGGAGGUUGACUUAGAAGCAGUAACCCUUUAAAAAGUGCGUAAUAGCUUACUGGUCAAGUGCUUUUGCGCCGAAAAUGAAUGGGACUAAGUAGUUUGCCGAAAGUGUGAGAUAAUAUCGGUAGAAGAGCGUUUUGUAUUAGUUAGAAGCAGUAGUGAAAACAGCUGUGGACUAUUCAAAAGUGAGAAUGUUGGCUUAAGUAACGAAAACAUUGGUUGAAAUCCAAUGCCCCGAAAACCUAAGGAUUCCUUCGCAAGGUUCGUCCACGAAGGGUUAGUCAGGACCUAAAGCGAGGUUUAACAACGUAGUUGAUGGAUAACAGGUUAAUAUUCCUGUACUAUUUUUAAUUUAAUUAUGAGUGACAAAAAAGGCUAUACCAUCCAAAGACUGGUUGUUUUGGUUUAAUUUUACGAGGUUAUGAGAAGCAUUAAAAAAAAUGUUUUGAGCUAAGUUUAGAGUACGAGAGAUAUUACGGUAUCAAAAGUGGUUCAUGUCAUGUUUUCAAGAAAAACUCUAGUAAUAUAUAGUUAAAAAUACCUGUACCUUAAAUUGACACAGAUAGGAAAGUAGAGAAUACUAAGGGGCGCGAGAUAACUCUUUCUAAGGAACUCGGCAAAAUAACUCUGUAACUUCGGGAGAAAGAGUGCCUCUGCAAAGAGGUCGCAGUGAUCAGGUCCAAGCGACUGUUUAUCAAAAACACAGGUCUCCGCUAAGUUGAAAAACUAUGUAUGGGGGCUGACGCCUGCCCAGUGCCAGAAGGUUAAAGAAAUUGGUUAGCUAACGCGAAGCUGGUGACUGAAGCCCUGGUGAACGGCAGCCGUAACUAUAACGGUUCGAAGGUAGCGAAAUUCCUUGUCGGGUAAGUUCCGACCCGCACGAAAGGCGUAACGAUUUGGAUACUGUCUCAGAAAGAGACUCGGUGAAAUAGAAUUGACUGUGAAGAUGCGGUCUACUUGCACUUGGACAGAAAGACCCUAUGAAGCUUUACUGUAACUUGAGAUUGGUUUUGGGCUUUUUUUGCGCAGUAUAGGUGGGAGGCUUUGAACUUAUUUUUCGGAAGAAAGUGAGCCACAAUGUGAGAUACCACUCUGAAAAAGUUAAAAAUCUAAUAGUAUUUUAUCAAAAUACUUGACAGUUUCAGGCGGGCAGUUUUACUGGGGCGGUAGCCUCCUAAAAGGUAACGGAGGCGUACAAAGGUUUUCUCAGUCUGGACGGAAAUUAGUUGCAGCGUGUAAAGAUAAAAGUAAGCUUGACUGUGAGACUCAAAAGUCGAGCAGAGACUAAAGUCGGUCUUAGUGAUCCGACGGUGCUGAGUGGAAAGGCCGUCGCAUAACUGAUAAAAGUUACUCUAGGGAUAACAGGCUGAUCUCCCCCAAGAGUUCACAUCGACGGGGAGGUUUGGCACCUCGAUGUCGGCUCAUCGCAACCUGGGGCGGUAGUACGUCCCAAGGGUUGGGCUGUUCGCCCAUUAAAGCGGUACGUGAGCUGGGUUCAGAACGUCGAGAGACAGUUCGGUCCAUAUCCGGUGUGAGUGUUAGAGUAUUGAAAGGAGCUUUCCUUAGUACGAGAGGACCGGGAAGGAUACACCACUGAUGUACCAGUUUUUGUGCCAACAGAAUACGCUGGGUAGUUAAGUGUAGAGUGGAUAACUGCU